rnacentral:rRNA from 1 species
AUGGAUCUCUGGGAGAGGGCGCGGUCCUUCGCCGGCGAGGCGGCGAAGCGGUCGCAGGAGCUGUCGCUGGAGGCGGCCAAGCGGUCGUCGGUGCUGGUGUCGGAGACGGCGAAGAAGUCCAAGGAGAUCUUCUCGGAGACCGCCAUCAAGUCCCGCGAGAUGGCCGCGGAGGCGACCAAGCAGGCCGACCUCCUCGCCGGCCAGAUCAUGCACCUCGCCUCGGACAUCCCCGUCCCCUCCAUCCCGCCCAUCCCCGCGAUCUCGCCCCUCCCCUCCGCGGCCGAGUCGGAGCCCGACGCCGCCGAGCUCGAGCGCUACGGCAUCACCGACGACCUCCGCGAGUUCGUCAACGGCAUGACCAUAAGCACCUUCCGCGACUUCCCCUUGCAAGAUGAGCCGGAGAUGUCUGAUGUGCCGACGGUGUCGAAUGUGCGUCAGGAUCUGAACGAAUGGCAGGCUAGGCACGCCACUCUCGUCCUCUCGGCCGUCAAGGAAAUUUCAAAGUUCAGAUAUGAGCUGUGCCCAAGAUACAUGAAAGAGCGUAAAUUCUGGCGAAUUUAUUUCUUGCUAGUAAACAACUAUGUAACCCCUUACGAGACCAAAUAUUUUGAGGAGCUGAAAGUGAAAGCCGAGGAGGACAAAAUGGUUGCCCAGAAGGAAAUAUCACAGACCUCACAAGCUACAACUUCAGAACAGAAAGACACGAAGGUGCCAAGCAAGACAUCUACCUCAUCAAAUCGAGAGCAGGAUCUGGAUGUAUUUCUUCUUGGAGAUCUAGGCAGUGAUGAUGAGGGUCCUGAUGCUGGCGACGAUGAUGGGCUAGACGAUGACUUUGAUAAGAUAGAUGGUGCCUCAGGCUUAGAGAGUGAUGGUGACGAGGAUAAGAAGGCAGAAAAUGCGAAGGAGUUGCUCUGA